AGUUAAAAGGAGGGGAGGAGGGGGGAGAAUUCACCGUCAGGGUACUACCGCGGGCAGGGAGGGCCCUCAGGGCAGCCAAACGCCUCAGGGCCGCCGGCGCGAGCGGAGCCGUUACCCCGCGAUGAGCCGUGAGCGCGAGGGUCGGAGCGGCACCGCCUGAACGAGCGGAGGGGGCUCCCCAGCUGCGCUAUUUUUACGACGGAAGUUUCGUGCCUACGGGCGGUCCAGCUCUUCCUUCCCGAAGCACGGCGGAGUGCCUUUCCCGGACGCAUCCUCCUCGGCUCCGAAGAGAGGGCUCCGGCUGAAGUCGCGGAUGGCGAGGGUUUGUGCAUCUCUGAGCUCGCAAGCGCGAUGUUCGACUCAGCAACAAACACCACGGCACCACUGGAGCAGUCUGGGACCCUUCCGGCAGCCACAAAAUAGCAUCGCCAGGACCGGGUCCUGGAAUUACAAGUGCGAGCUGAAAGUCUCCCAGUUCUUAGUGUGCGUGUUCCAGUGCUUCUGAAGCAGUCCUUCAAAACGCAGAAAACACCCAAAAAAUGUGUUAAAACCAUUCGCCAUGAGUAUGGCUUCUAUCCCUAAUCACGACUCUGGCUGUCAGUCAGGAUGACACCAUCCAGAUGCAGAUAUAUAUAUAUAAGCAAACCUUAAGUCAAAAACUUUCUCUCAGCUCCUAGCCGGCUUCUGUCCCAAGUAUCUGGUACUUUACCUUCGGCUGUAGGGUGCGCCACUUCUCAUUAGUGUGUAAAGUUGGGGCAUUUUGUGCUUCUGAAGUGCCGCUGAACGUAACUGUAUUUCAGUCCUGCACUCUUACCCAACCUAAGUCUGCUCUGGAGGGAGUACAGUAUUGGGUUGUUUUUGCUUUUCUUCUUUCUUUUUAAACAAAUGCACAAAUAGUAGGAAAAGGAGAACAGAAGACAGAAGCAAGAACAUUUAUGCAUUAGGCAAUUUGGACAUGGUAUAAAAUAAAUAAUGCAGGCUAUAUUGAUUUAAAAAAACAAAAGGAAUCAAGUCACAGCCUAUUGUUACAGCAUUCUACAGAGAUUUAUUAGUGCUGUGGAAAAAAAAAAAAAAUCACAGUGAGAGCAAAUGAGAACCAAAAAUGAAAAGGUAUGGUACCUGGCCAGCCUGGCCCUGGUGGGAGGUUGCAUUCUUUCAGCAGAAAUAUUGAAUUCCAAACCCCAACCCAAUCUUUACUCACAGCCUUGUGGCAACCCACUCAAACUGGAGAGCCACUCUGAUGUGGUUUCAUAGCUAACAGGAUUCAGCCAAUGUACAGCACGCAGAGAAAGCCUAAGCUGAGCUCUGCUUUUAGAAGUUCUAUGGAAAUACUGAGAAACAAUUAUUUAAUCAUACUUGGUUGAGUUAAGCCACAUGGCCCAUAUUCAUAAUCCCCAUUUGUUGCAAAGGAGUUGGACUAGAUGACCUCUAAAGGUUCCUUUCAACUCUAAGGAAUCUAAGAUUCUAUUUUGUGAUUCAAUAUUGAUACACCAGUCCUGGUAGGAACUUGUUUUCUGGUAGAACAACAUAUAAACAUGUCAAUGCAGAGUACAAAUAGCUCAGUAACAUUACCUUUAGUGGAAAUGAAGAAGUACGCCUCGUCAUUAUCAUAUCAUUUGACUUUUUUCUUUUUCUUUUUUUUUCUUUUUUAAAGUUUCAUGUUUCCCUUCCUACUCAAUACAGACCUCUACAGUAUCUCAUUUUAUCCUUUUUAGAGUGAUUGACUGAAUUGAAGUGGAAGGGCAGACACAAACAUAAACCAUCCAUUCACUAAAAAAGAGGGCAAAUUAGAUGCCCGUGCCCAAUAACCAGGAUGAAAUCAGAACAGAAGAGGGAUACUGGGAGAGGAACUGCUGUCAGGGUCACACGCAGCCUGCCCACCCAAGAACACCCACCCCAUCCUAAGCCACACACCAGAGCAGCUUCCACACGGCUCCAACUUCUGCUGCCUGGCACAGGAACAUCCUCAGGUUGAGUGCUCCAACCCAUAGCACGCGGACAUCACCUGCAGAGGAGGCGGCAUGCAGCGCUGAUACACUUUGGAACCAGAAGUGCUGAGAUGGCAGCACUCAGAGUUCAGUGCUUUAAAGCCAUAAUCACGCAUAGAAGCUUUCAAGAACAAAUUCUGGUAUCUGCAUAGUGACUUUUCCCUCUCCAGUAGUACUCCCAGAGCAAACGUCUAAUAAAUCAGUUACGUGUCUAUUUAUGAGGCCAAAGCAAUAAUCCACUAAAUCCACUCCCAUUUGUUUCAUCUUAAUCGGCUUCCCAACCCGUUGUCAGUACAGCCAUGAAGGAACGUGAUUACGUAACUUCAGCAUUAAUGUGAGCAGUGAGAACUACUGCUGCCAAAGGAGGGAGAAAAGCAUGCCUAGAACUUCCAUUCCAGCACAUCAGCUGUUAUUACCUGGGAGAAGGUUGAUGCUUUUCGAUACUAGUCCUUGAAAACAAACAAACGUGCAAGUAGCUGCGGAUGUGUUUAUUGUAUGACUUGGUUUUUACAUUAAAUUAACAUACACAAAAGUCUCACUACUGCUAUAGGGAACAAACUGACCCAAGGAGUUUUCAGGUUAAAAUACUGACAAUUUAUAAGCACCCCGGUUCAGUACAGAGAUUAAUGCUAACCAGAAUGUGUUCAGAAUCAGAACAACAAAAACCCCUCAGAAGUUACUGAUUAUUUUCUGUUAUUUUUUUUCUUUAUUCUACAUGUAUCUGAAUAUUUUGAAGCAUGCCCAUCAUCGGGCUCAUCUCUGAUAUCCCUCCAACAACCAAGUCACAUUCUAUCAUCUGUUCUAAUAUAUACCUAUCAGUAUGCUUUUUAAUUUUUAUUUGUUGAAAAUUGUUAACAUUCAAAAUACUUUUUGUAAUCUGAAUACUUCAUAUAGAUGAUUUCAUCUGUACCUUUUACUUCACCACCGCUGUGCUUGCAACACGUGGAGCUUCAAUCAAAAACAAAAGGCAAAAAAAAAAAAUGAACUGUAAAAAUCAUUUUAAAACAACGAAUAGGAGACAGUGAUUUAUUAAACUGCAGAUUGCUUGAGCCCACACACUUAUUUUUAUGCCAGUAAACAUCUAUCUGGUUCAGCAGGCAGAACUAUUUUGAAUGAAAUCUCAAAAAUAGGGGUUUUUCACAUAUGCAAGGAUCAGGAGAGAGAUGAAUCUUUGAAGGGAAUAUGCUUACAUACACACACGUAUGAAUGGAAUGAAUUUUCUCAUUUGCUUUCUUAUUUUAAUAAAGAUGAUCAAUCAGAAGCAAGUCUUUUCCUUUUCAGUGUGUCACACAAAUAUUGCAAAAUAUGCAGAGAAGUACGCUAAGAACCACUUCAAACAUGUAACUCAAGUGCAGUUCAUUAUUAUAACUGUAGAGAUUUCUUCUCUUUGCCAUACAGGCAAGGAGAAACUUUACAUUGUACUUGUUUCAAAGAAAUAGCUUACAGUACAUAGAAAAAUGGCUUUCAUUCACAUAAAAUAAGAGCUGUUUCCACAAUGUUCCCAUUCACCUUAACCUAAAUAUUCCAGCUACAAAAGCUUCUUUUUGAAGUUUUGGACAAUAGAUGAGGUUUUACUUCAGUGAAACAAAAAUAUCUCCCUCCUUUUUUUCUCAGUGAUGGGAGAAUAUAGGCCCAAGCAGUCACAUAAUGGCAUCACCUCACUUGGUUAAAGAAACAACACCUACAUAUGCAAUUAUCUCACAGGCAUCAGCAUUACAGAAAAGAGUUAAAGUAACAAUACGGAAAUGAUUCACUCCUCACACUAGGAAAUAAGAGAAUUCAACAGACACAGCUUUGAUUACCUGGUGAAAUUUCAGCUCUACGCUAAUUUUAAUUCAACAGCUUUACAUACUAAACAGCCUAAGAAUCUGACAGAAUCAGUAAGUUUUUAUCAUCACUUUAAAAAAAAUAUAUACAUACGUAAUACUCCCAAAUAGAACUCAUUCUUGCUAAAAAUUGCCAAAUUUUCCUCAUCUCUCUUUCACCAAACUUGGGUGGG